UACGUAGGUGACCAGCGUUGUCCGGAUUUACUGGGCGUAAAGAGCGCGCAGGCGGUCGUUCAAGUCGAGUGUGAAAGCCCCCCGGCUCAACUGGGGAGGGUCACUCGAUACUGAUCGACUUGAAGGCAGGAGAGGGAAGCGGAAUUCCCGGUGUAGUGGUGAAAUGCGUAGAUAUCGGGAGGAACACCAGUGGCGAAGGCGACUUCCUGGCCUGUUCUUGACGCUGAGGCGCGAAAGCUAGGGGAGCAAACGGG
rnacentral:rRNA from 1 species